rnacentral:lncRNA from 1 species
AGAAUGUUCUCCUGGUUUAUACGCCAAAGAUUGUAGUGAGGCGUGUUCAAUAAACUGUAGGAAUUCUCCAUGCAAUCACGUAACAGGAGAAUGCGUUGGUGGCUGUCAAGAUGGAUGGCAGGGAUUCAAUUGUUCCCAAAGUAUGUUCUUUUGUAUCAAGAACCAAUCUUUUAUCUAAUUAGAUAUUAUUUUAUUACAAAAAAAUUGCUGGACGCUAAAGAGAAACAUCAGACUAGCUUCACUUGGAAUAGUUGUAUCUGCGUUUGAUGUUUGAACUUCAUUCAAAAUAUGCACAGAUCAAUAUUUACUUUUUAUGUUAAAUUUAUUUGCUUAAGACCUGAAGAUGUGUCAGUUGUACUAUGGUUGGAUGGGUUUUUUUUCUUACAUUAAGUAAUGUAGUACAUUGUUGUUCUAUUGAUUAUGAUAAGAAAGAAAUAUUUAUGUGUUACAUUUUGAUACAAAUCCCCACUAAGGAAAUGUACACAGAAAUCAAAAUGUCGACUAACAGAAUAUAGUGUGCUGUCUAAUAAUUUGAUGGAAUAAUUCGGAUACAUAUUUUCAGAUUGUCCUAAUGGUCAGUUUGGAAGAAACUGUUCUAAAUUUUGUAAAGGAUGUGUAUCAAGUAUAUGUGAGCCUGUUAAUGGAUUGUGU